rnacentral:rRNA from 1 species
AUUGAACGCUGGCGGCAUGCCUUACACAUGCAAGUCGAGCGGAUGAGAAGAGCUUGCUCUUCGAUUCAGCGGCGGACGGGUGAGUAAUGCCUAGGAAUCUGCCUGGUAGUGGGGGACAACGUUUCGAAAGGAACGCUAAUACCGCAUACGUCCUACGGGAGAAAGCAGGGGACCUUCGGGCCUUGCGCUAUCAGAUGAGCCUAGGCCGGAUUAGCUAGUUGGUGAGGUAAUGGCUCACCAAGGCGACGAUCCGUAACUGGUCUGAGAGGAUGAUCAGUCACACUGGAACUGAGACACGGUCCAGACUCCUACGGGAGGCAGCAGUGGGGAAUAUUGGACAAUGGGCGAAAGCCUGAUCCAGCCAUGCUGCGUGUGUGAAGAAGGUCUUCGGAUUGUAAAGCACUUUAAGUUGGGAGGAAGGGCAGUAAGUUAAUACCUUGCUGUUUUGACGUUACCGACAGAAUAAGCACCGGCUAACUCUGUGCCAGCCGCCGCUGUAACAC